CGGGGAUUCGUAUUUCACACGUUCCCGGCGGCGCGGGGGAGGAUGCACCAGCGCUGCUGCGUAGGGACUCGGCGCUGCGAGCGGUCCGGAAUUCCCUCAGACCCCGCCGCCCCUCCCGCGCGGGCUCCGUCCAGCGGGGACACCGGGCCGGCUCCGCUCCGCCGCCGAGCGACCAGCGCCGUGCCCCGGCUGCGGCAGCGGGAAGGGCCCGGGGAAGCCACCCCCAGGGAGACGGGAACGCGUCUCCAGAGCCAUCCCCAGCCGAGCGCAAGGUGAUGUACUUUUUGUCCAGUGCACGUCAUGGUGAGGGAUGAGUCACUUCCCCUGUGGGCAGCGAUGACUGACUGCCUCUGCUGCCUGUGGAGCUGCCACACCAGAGCUGGGCACACGAGGAGUCACCACCUCCAAUCAGCUCUCUGAUGACGACACGAUGUAAAAGCAGUUUAUUAAGCUGCAAGAUGAAAGACUUUUACAGCUCAUAAAGGAGGAAAGCUCAUAAGAAGACAAGGUUCUAAUUCCAGGACACUGCUGCAUGCAGUUGAAUCAAUGGUGGUCACAGCAGAUUCCUGACACUGUGAGAAAUCUUUCUGCUCUUCUGCUGCUGCAUGGUCUUCAUACGGACCUCCAAACUGAGCUGAACUUCUGCAAAGCAAGAAAAGACAACAUUUUAUUUAAAAAUAAACAAUGUUUUGAUGCCAUGAUGCCAGAGCAGCAUUGAUGAUUGGACUGAAACCCAGUGGAGAGAGAUUAAUGUGGAACAGAUGGAUGUGCAGCUCAGAAGGUUUGCC